rnacentral:rRNA from 1 species
UGGGGAAUCUUGGACAAUGGGGGCAACCCUGAUCCAGCCAUGCCGCGUGAGUGAUGAAGGCCUUAGGGUCGUAAAGCUCUUUCGCCUGUGAAGAUAAUGACGGUAGCAGGUAAAGAAACCCCGGCUAACUCCGUGCCAGCAGCCGCGGUAAUACGGAGGGGGUUAGCGUUGUUCGGAAUUACUGGGCGUAAAGCGCACGUAGGCGGACCAGAAAGUUGGGGGUGAAAUCCCGGGGGCUCAACCCCGGAACUGCCUCCAAAACUAUUGGUCUAGAGUUCGAGAGAGGUGAGUGGAAUUCCAAGUGUAGAGGUGAAAUUCGUAGAUAUUUGGAGGAACACCAGUGGCGAAGGCGGCUCACUGGCUCGAUACUGACGCUGAGGUGCGAAAAGUGUGGGGAGCAAACAGGAUUAGAUACCCUGGUAGUCCACACCGUAAAACGAUGAAUGCCAGUCGUCGGGUAGCAUGCUAUUCGGUGACACACCUAACGGAUUAAGCAUUCCGGCCUGGGGAGUACGGUCGCAAGAUU